rnacentral:rRNA from 1 species
UGGGGAAUAUUGCGCAAUGGGCGAAAGCCUGACGCAGCGACGCCGCGUGAGGGAUGAAGGUCCUCGGAUCGUAAACCUCUGUCAGGAGGGAAGAACCGCCACGGUGCUAAUCAGCCGUGGUCUGACGGUACCUCCAAAGGAAGCACCGGCUAACUCCGUGCCAGCAGCCGCGGUAAUACGGAGGGUGCGAGCGUUAAUCGGAAUCACUGGGCGUAAAGCGCACGUAGGCUGCUUGGUAAGUCAGGGGUGAAAGCCCGCGGCUCAACCGCGGAAUUGCCUUUGAUACUGCCGAGCUAGAGUCCGGGAGAGGGUAGUGGAAUUCCAGGUGUAGGAGUGAAAUCCGUAGAGAUCUGGAGGAACAUCAGUGGCGAAGGCGACUACCUGGACCGGUACUGACGCUGAGGUGCGAAAGCGUGGGGAGCAAACAG